rnacentral:rRNA from 1 species
UACAGAGGGGGCAAGCGUUGUUCGGAAUUACUGGGCGUAAAGGGCGCGUAGGCGGCCUGUUAAGUCGAACGUGAAAUCUCCGGGCUCAACCCGGGAACUGCGUCCGAUACUGGCAGGCUUGAAUUCGGGAGAGGGAUGCGGAAUUCCCGGUGUAGUGGUGAAAUGCGUAGAUAUCGGGAGGAACACCAGUGGCGAAGGCGACUACCUGGCCUGUUCUUGACGCUGAGGCGCGAAAGCUAGGGGAGCAAACGGG